AUGUCAUCAUCGGACGACGAAAGUCUCCCGGGGGAGUGCGACUGGUGCCACGACGAUCGAGGUGAGUGCGACAGGCCUCACCUGGACGAUGGUCGGCGCUUUAGCAUUAAGCUCGAGGAGACUUUCGAAAUUGAAACGUUUAUCCCAUGCCAUGCAAGGCGCUAUGUCUUGGAGAGGAUGGAUUUUGAAGACCAUGAAAAUUUUGAAACGAAGAAAAUUCACCUAAGGACCCAUCAUGAUGUGGAUUUUGAAGUAAAGUUGUAUAAUGCUGAGAGCGUAACUCAUUUUGGUUGCAAAAAUUGGGAAGCAUUUUGCAAAUUGUAUGGUUUUGAUGAGGGUAUGCUUGUCACCAUGGAUCUUGGUGAUCCUGAAAUAGAGCAAGACAAUAUGGACAUUUGGGUCCUUGUUGAUACUCCUCCAGUUCUACCGCUAUCUUAUUUUGAAGUAUCAAAGAAUGUGCAGAAGAUGGUAGAUAGAACUUACUACACCGAUGGCUCUGAGUUAACUUAG
rnacentral:rRNA from 1 species